UGUGAUUGUAACAUAGCAUUGGGUAGCAGU
rnacentral:piRNA from 1 species